AUGGAGGCUGCUCGGAAAAGAUUAAAUCUUCUGUUUAAAAGAAGUGAUAGGGCAGUCGUGAUGGAGAGAAGGAAAAUUCUCCUGGAGAUGGACGAACUUCUAUUAAAGGAAGAAGUCAUGUGGAACGAAAGGUCUUGCAUUGAGAAAAUGAUUUUGGGGGACCAUAACACGAAGUUCUUUCAGAGAAAGGCUUCUUGGAGGGCGAAGAAAAAUAAUAUUUCCGCUAUUAAAAGUAGUGAUGGGUCUAUUACUGAGAAUGUGGAUGAAAUCAUUGGUAUUACAAAUUCCUUCUUUCAGCAUCUUUAUUCUUGUGAUACUAAUGUUGAUCCCCCUCGUAUUAUUCCCUUGGUGAAACCCCGGGAGAAUAUCUGGUGCACCGGUGUUUGUGGUGCUACCAGUGCACCAAACUUAAGUUGCAUAUUUUAA
rnacentral:rRNA from 1 species